rnacentral:ncRNA from 1 species
UGGUCCUAGCCUUGUAAUCAAUUUUUACUUAAUAUACACAUGCAAGUCUCCGCCACCCUGUGAAAACGCCCUUAAUCUCCUACUAGGAAAAAGGAGCUGGUAUCAGGCCCACCCACUAGCCCAAGACACCUAGCUACGCCACACCCACAAGGGAAAUCAGCAGUGAUUAAUAUUAGAUAUAAACGACAGCUUGAUCUAGUUAAAGUAGAAAGAGCCGGCAAAUCUGGUGCCAGCCGCCGCGGUUAUACCACUUGGCUCAAAUUGAUAUCAUUCGGCGUAAAGCGUGAUUUAAGAUAUCCAAAAAUAUAGUUAAAUUAAAACUAAGCUGUAGCACGCUUGUAGUUAAGAAAAACAACAACGAAAGUCACUAUAAUUUAAUCAACUUGAAUUCACGACAGCUAGAACACAAACUAGAAUUAGAUACCCUACUAUGUCUAGCCGUAAACUUUAAUUUACAUAAAAAUCGCCAGGGAACUACGAGCAAAGCUUAAAACCCAAAGGACUUGACGGUACCCCAAAUCCACCUAGAGGAGCCUGUCCUAUAAUUGAUAAUCCACACUUAACCUCACCAUUUUUAGCCUUUCAGCCUGUAUACCUCCGUCGCCAGCUUACCACAUGAGUGAGUUAUAGUGAGCACUAUGUUUUUACAACAAUACGUCAGGUCAAGGUGCAGCAUAUAAAAUGGAAAGAGAUGGGCUACACUCUCUAGCAUAGAAUAUACGAAAAACUAAUUAUGAAAUCUAGUUAGAAGGCGGAUUUAGAAGUAAAAAGAAAAAAUGAUUGUUCUUUUUAAAUUGGCACUGGGGUAUGUACACACCGCCCGUCACCCUCCUCAAAAACAUUCAAAUAGUUUAUAACAAAAUAAUGUUAUUCAGAAGAGGCAAGUCGUAACAUGGUAAGUAUACCGGAAGGUGUGCUUGGAAA